GGCGUGUGUGCCGUGUCGUGUUUGUCAUCCUUCCAGAGAGCUGCGUCUACCAUUCACUUGGCCGGACGUACGCGAUCUGGAUCGAUUACUUUGAAAAAAUUAGAGUGUUUAAAGCAGGCUUACGCUGUGAAUACAUUAGCAUGGAAUAAUAAUUUAGGACUUCGGUUCUAUUUUGUUGGUUUCUAGGACUGAAGUAAUGAUUGAUAGGGACAGUUGGGGGUGCUAGUAUUCCGCGGCCAGAGGUGAAAUUCUUGGAUUCGCGGAAGACUAACUACUGCGAAAGCAUUCACCAAGGAUGUCUUCUUUAAUCAAGAACGAAAGUUGGGGGAUCGAAGACGAUCAGAUACCGUCGUAGUCUCAACCAUAAACUAUACCGACUAAGGAUCAGUGAACGUUGAUUUACGACUUCAUUGGCACUUUGUGAGAAAUCAAAGUCUUUGGGUUCCGGGGGGAGUAUGGUCGCAAGGCUGAAACUUAAAGGAAUUGACGGAAGGGCACCACCAGGAGUGGAGCCUGCGGCUUAAUUUGACCCAACACGGGAAAACUUACCAGGUCCAGACAUAGUGAGGAUUGACAGAUUGAAGAUCUUUCUUGAUUCUAUGGGUGGUGGUGCAUGGGCCGUUCUUAGUUGGUGGAGUGAUUUGUCUGGUUAAUUCCGUUAACGAACGAGACCUCGACCUGCUAAAUAGUACCAGUUAUUCAUUGGAUAAUCUGGGCACUUCUUAGAGGGACUAUCGG
rnacentral:rRNA from 1 species